UACAGAGGGUGCGAGCGUUAAUCGGAAUUAUUGGGCGUAAAGGGCACGUAGGCGGUCUUUUAAGCUAGAUGUGAAAGCCCUUGGCUUAACCAAGGAAUUGCAUCUAGAACUGAAAGACUAGAGAAAAGUAGAGGUGAGUGGAAUUUCCAGAGUAGCGGUGAAAUGCGUAGAUACUGGAAGGAACACCGGUGGCGAAGGCGACUCACUGGACUUUUUCUGACGCUGAGGUGCGAAAGCGUGGGUAGCGAACAGG
rnacentral:rRNA from 1 species